CGGGUUGUAAAGCACUUUCAGUCGUGAGGAAGGCGGGUACGUUAAUAGCGUAUUCGUUUGACGUUAGCGACAGAAGAAAGCACCGGCUAACUCCGUGCCAGCAGCCGCGGUAAUACGGAGGGUGCGAGCGUUAAUCGGAAUUACUGGGCGUAAAGCGCAUGCAGGUGGUUUGUUAAGUCAGAUGUGAAAGACCCGGGGCGUCAACCUCGGAAUAGCAUUUGAAACUAGGCAGACUAGAGUACUGUAGAGGGGGGUAGGAAUUUCAGGUGUAGCGGUGAAAUGCGUAGAGAUCUGAAGGAAUACCGGUGGCGAAGGCGGCCCCCUCGGACAGAUACUGACACUCAGAUGCGAAAGCGUGGGGAGCAAACAGGAUUAGAUACCCUGGUAG
rnacentral:rRNA from 1 species